rnacentral:rRNA from 1 species
AUUGAACGCUGGCGGCAGGCCUAACACAUGAAAGUCGAGCGGAGCGGCGGACGGGUGAGUGAUGCCUAGGAAUCUGCCUGGUAGUGGGGGAUAACGUCCGGAAACGGGGGCUAAUACCGCAUACUAUCAGAUGAGCCUAGGUCGGAUUAGCUAGUUGGUGGGGUAAAGGCCUACCAAGGCGACGAUCCGUAACUGGUCUGAGAUUAUGAUCAGUCACACUGGAACUGAGACACGGUCCAUACUCCUACGUCGGGCCGCCGUGGUGCGUGUUUAGCCCUAUACUAAAGCCUGUUCCAGCCAUGCCGCGUGUGUGAAUAAGAUCUUCCGUUUGUCCCGCACUUUAAGUUGGGAGGCGUUACCAACAGAAUAAGCACCGGCUAACUUCGUGCCAGCAGCCGCGGUAAUUC